rnacentral:misc_RNA from 1 species
AACGCACAUUGCGCCCGCUAGUAUUCUGGCGGGCAUGCCUGUUCGAGCGUCAUUUCAACCAUCAAGCGCUGUCGCUUGUGUUGGAGCCCUGCGGCUGCCGCAGGCUCCCAAACCCAGUGGCGGGCUCGUCGUCGUACCGAGUGCAGUAAAUAUACCACGCUCAGGGCACGCGACGGGUGACCGGCCGUAAAAAGCCCCCUAUAUCUCAAGGUUGACCUCGGAUCAGGUAGGAAUACCCGCUGAACUUAA